rnacentral:rRNA from 1 species
UACGAGGGGGGCAAGCGUUGUUCGGAAUUAUUGGGCGUAAAGGGUGCGUAGGCGGUCUGAUAAGUCAUCUGUGAAAUCUAUGGGCUCAACCCAUAGUCUGCAGGCGAAACUGUCGGGCUUGAGUAUGGGAGAGGUGAGUGGAAUUUCCGGUGUAGCGGUGAAAUGCGUAGAUAUCGGAAGGAACACCUGUGGCGAAGGCGGCCAUCUGGGACAACACUGACGCUGAAGCACGAAAGCGAUGGGGAGCAAACAGGG